UACAGAGGGUGCAAGCGUUGUUCGGAAUUAUUGGGCGUAAAGCGCGUGUAGGCGGCUUGUUAUGUCGGGUGUGAAAGCCCUCAGCUUAACUGAGGAAGUGCGCCCGAAACUGGCGAGCUAGAGUGCGGAAGGGGCAACCGGAAUUCCCAGUGUAGCGGUGAAAUGCGUAGAUGUUGGGAAGAACACCUGAGGCGAAGGCGGGUUGCUGGGCCGACACUGACGCUGAGGCGCGAAAGCCAGGGGAGCAAACGGG
rnacentral:rRNA from 1 species